CUGUGAUUUUUGAGAUUUCCUAAGUCAAAGGGCUGAAUCCAUCAUGUAUGAAAACAAAUGAAGCUGGGAAUUUGGAGCAGACCUGGCAAAAGGGUAUGAUUGUGGUUUGGAAUAAACUGAAAGAAGGAUGAUUCUUCUCAAGAUAAGAGCAUACUUGUACCUCCAUACCAGGAAAUGAGUUAAAGUAGAAAAGGGUAUCCUGAAGUAGAUGCAGUCAUAUGAGCACAAGAAUUCUUUUUAAAAGUUAGCACAUAUUGGGGACUGUAAAUCAGCUUUGUUAUGGUAUGACUACAUCUAUACCACUGGUUCUUAAUAAAGUUAGUAAAAAUGUUCUCCUAACUGACGGAGUGAUGCUAAUAAAACUUUUAUGUGUACAAGACCCCUAAAAAUUGGAAUAAUCAAUAAAUAACAUAUACGACUACUGUUAACAUUGCACACCCCAAAUUCAGCAAGAAUUCCUAUUAUGCAAGUCUGAGUUUGUAGAGCGGUAAUUCUACUAAGCUAGCACUGUGGGAGAAUGCAGAAGUUGCUUUUUAAAAGUUGAAGUGCCAUUUUAUUUCUCUUGAUACAUUUUGGGGAACUUUCCAAAAUCAGUCUUGGCACAGCUGAAGCAUCUUUAACACUCUUCUACUACUGUUUCUUCUACCACUGUCACCUUUUAGGAGCUUAUGUUUUUAGCAUUCUUCUACCACUAUCACUCUUAAAAGGUUAUGUGUGUUCUCCAAAUGGGACCAGAUUGUACUGAAAGACUGUUAUUUUUAAUACAGUUUCCUGUGGAGGAAUAACCUGAAUUCCUGGCAACGCACCACUAUUCAAUUCAUACAAAGCACUCACAUCAUUUACUCCAGAAACAGGCUUGGGCUCACAACCAUUCUGAUGUAAUCUCUACGAGCAGUGCUAUUUUAAGUGCAAUCACAUUACAUUAUAGGCAAGUACUAAAGGUAUACAAGAAGAGAACUUCAAACAUCCUUUGGGGUUGAAUUUUGCAAAAAGUGAUGCUUCGUAAAAGCUUGUCAACAUAAACUACUUCCAAGUGAAAGUUUAUUAAAUAUACUAAAUUAAGGUCUGAUGAUACAUAGCAAUUUGCUACAUAUGGGAAUGCUUAAAGCAAAAUGUGAUUUAUGUAUUUGACUUCUACCUGCAAGAGAAACAUCUGCCGUCCAGUGUGUGAUUUCAGUGCGCUUGGGAUGGAAUGAGUCCAGCUACCUAGUGGCAGACAUUAUAGAGGCACUUUCUUAGGCUGUUAUGGGUCUCAGAAACUCGGGACUGACCAAAAAUCCUAAAGCAAAGAAACUACUGAAGACUAUUUAUAUGGCUGCCCCACAUACUCCGAGGAGGAUCCAAUCUCAUUGAAUGAUAGGGCCUGUUAAUUUGUGGUAAACCAGAUGGGAAUGAGAGUCAUGUGAAAAAAACCCAACAAAACGAUGCAUGUGAUUUCUCCUGAUCAAGUGUCUUAUAAAAUAAUGGCAAAUUUUUUGUAAUACCAUGCCCUAGGAGUCAGCAUUUUCCUAUAGCUCUCCCGUGUCCUUCCCGUAAAUGCUCUGCUGAGGUCCUAAGUGUUCUUGCUCUUUGCAUGGAAAAGACAAAAAAGUACAAGGAAGACUAGAAUUCAAACUUUCGAGGGCACUUGUGAAUUGAGCUGGUUCACAGGCCCUCAUGAGCAAAAGAUGUGAAGAUAAUCAAAAAGAAAACUCAUGUGCUGGGCCUUUAUCAGAAUUCAGACUAAGGCAGGAUAUUUUAGAAAGACAUUGACAAAUUAUUUUGCUGUUUUGGACAUGGACAAUGUGGAAGGGAAUAGUUAGUGGGGUGUGACUGAGGAAUAUACCAAGGGAUCUUUGGUAUGCAGAGACUUGAUUUCUCAGGAAUGGAUGUAGUCCUUCCUGCUUCCCUUCCUCCCAACAUCCCUAUUGCUGUCCAGCCUUCUGUCAAAGAAAUACUCUGGCUGUAAGUUGCACUGUAGAAGAAUUUAUUAAAAACUAUUUCUCUUGCCAUUGUAA